AAUCCAUGUUAUGGACAGCAUCUAAUCAAAUCCUUAUACCUUUCCCAAGCUUCAUAGAGUGAUUCAAAAUCAUGUUGCUUGAAUUGACCAAUCUCACUCCUAAGUUG